rnacentral:rRNA from 1 species
UCUGACGUUGCGGCGGACGGGUGAGUAACACGUGGAUAACCUACCUAUAAGACUGGGAUAACUUCGGGAAACCGGAGCUAAUACCGGAUAAUAUAUUGAACCGCAUGGUUCAAUAGUGAAAGACGGUUUUGCUGUCACUUAUAGAUGGAUCCGCGCCGCAUUAGCUAGUUGGUAAGGUAACGGCUUACCAAGGCAACGAUGCGUAGCCGACCUGAGAGGGUGAUCGGCCACACUGGAACUGAGACACGGUCCAGACUCCUACGGGAGGCAGCAGUGGUCAUAAGCUGUUUCCUG